CCCUUAGAUGUUCUGGGCUGCACGCGCGCUACACUGAAGCGUUCAACGAGUAUUCACCUUGCCCGGGAGGGUUGGGUAAUCUUUUGAAAACGCUUCGUGAUGGGGAUAGAUUAUUGCAAUUAUUAAUCUUCAACGAGGAAUUCCUAGUAAGCGCGAGUCAUAAGCUCGCAUCGAUUAAGUCCCUGCCCUUUGUACACACCGCCCGUCGCUACUACCGAUUGAACGUUUUAGUGAGGCAUUUGGACCGACGCAUCUCAGUUUAACCGCUGGUUUGUGUUGGAAAGACUUCCAAACUUGAGCGUUUAGAGGAAGUAAAAGUCGUAACA
rnacentral:rRNA from 1 species